GUUUUUGUUAGCUUUGCUGCUGCUUCGUUUGCUGCUCGGUGCUGCUGCUCCUUCUUCUUCUUUUAGCUCGUCUGUGUGGGGAUUGGUGAGAAUUGUUGUUGUGGACCCAUAUGCUACUUGCAAUUAAUUAAGCCAAACAAUUGGCCAGCAAACAAAAGAAAUCAACGCAACACACCGCAAACACGAUACACAACUUCAAAUACAGGCAUAAACACAAAUAUACAUACACGCUAAUAUAUGUACAUAUGGAUGUGAUUCACUUGUCGCGCUCGCCUCGUGUCCUGACGUAGGCGGUAAAGUUGCGUAGUUGUGAGUGUGAGGGGUUUGGGGAGGUCAAGCAGUAAACGCGCGAAGCGCGAAUACGACAAAACGAGUAUGCGAUUGAGAACACGCGACAAAAUAAUGCGCCGACGUCCGUACAGCACAAAAUUUAUAAACAAACUGAACUGGCAGCGACGUUGGCGUCAACGUCGUCAUUGCCGGCAGCCAACACCAACCAGGUUGCGUUUGAACUUUGGACGAGAACUUGUUUGCUGCUCGUGUGUGAGUUCUGCGAGUGUGUGUGUGUAUACUUGCGUGAGUGGGUGGCAUGAAGAGCGAGCUUAAGCGCGGCAACCGGAACAGUGGAGCAAAACUUGACAAAGUGCAGAAGUAAAGUUAUAAACUUAAAUGUUGUUUAAGCUUAAUGGUAUUGUUUAUAAAUAUUUACAAUAACUUUGCUACCAAAUAUUAUUGAAUAUUUCACCUGAACUAAAUGAGAUGUAAAUACAAGAUACAAUUAUUUAUUUA